UGUUUUGUGGCUAAGUUGAUAAACGCGCCGUACUAGCGAUACAGAGUAGUGAGUUCGAUUCCCACCAAAACAA
rnacentral:tRNA from 1 species